rnacentral:tRNA from 1 species
GCCCUCGUCGUUCAAUGGAUAGGACAUAAGCUUCCGGAGCUUAAGAUGCGGGUUCGAUUCCUGCCGAGGGCACAA